rnacentral:rRNA from 1 species
GCGCAGCCUGAUGCAGCCAUGCCGCGUGUAUGAAGAAGGCCUUAGGGUUGUAAAGUACUUUCAGCGGGGAGGAAGGUGAUAAGGUUAAUACCCUUAUCAAUUGACGUUACCCGCAGAAGAAGCACCGGCUAACUCCGUGCCAGCAGCCGCGGUAAUACGGAGGGUGCAAGCGUUAAUCGGAAUUACUGGGCGUAAAGCGCACGCAGGCGGUCAAUUAAGUCAGAUGUGAAAGCCCCGAGCUUAACUUGGGAAUUGCAUCUGAAACUGGUUGGCUAGAGUCUUGUAGAGGGGGGUAGAAUUCCAUGUGUAGCGGUGAAAUGCGUAGAGAUGUGGAGGAAUACCGGUGGCGAAGGCGGCCCCCUGGACAAAGACUGACGCUCAGGUGCGAAAGCGUGGGGAGCAAACAGGAUUAGAUACC